rfam:Erinaceus europaeus unplaced genomic scaffold scaffold01264, whole genome shotgun sequence
AUAGAAAGAAAGAACUGGAGGUAAAGAAAUGUGGACUUGGAGAAAUCUGGGGCCAGUUUGUUCCCUGCAGACUCAAGAUCAACUUUCCCACAAAG